rnacentral:misc_RNA from 1 species
CAAUUUAACCAAGCAACUUGUAGAUUAUUAUCCCA